rnacentral:rRNA from 1 species
GAGGAAGUAAAAGUCGUAACAAGGUUUCCGUAGGUGAACCUGCGGAAGGAUCAUUACUGAAGUAUCAAUGACAAGUUGUUGCUGGUUUUCGUGCACGCUUGUUGUUCUUCAUUUCUCCAUCAUUCGUGCACCACUUGUGUGGAUCAUUAGGACUGCUUUGCAAAGUUACUAUUCGUGGGGCUUUCCUUGGAUCUACAUGUUUUUGUCACAUACACCAAUGUUUAGAAGGAAAAGUUGAAAUUAUUAUACAACUUUCAGCAACGGAUCUCUUGGCUCUCGCAUCGAUGAAGAACGCAGCGAAAUGCGAUAAGUAAUGUGAAUUGCAGAAUUCAGUGAAUCAUCGAAUCUUUGAACGCAUCUUGCGCUCCUUGGUAUUCUGAGGAGCAUGCCUGUUUGAGUGUCAUUAAUAUCUCAACCACUUUCAUUAUGUGGCUUGGACUUGGAGGGAUGUGCAGGCUCAUAGUCUGCUCCUCUAAAAAAUAUGAGCGGUACCUGUAUUGGAACUUUCGCUAGGUGUGAUACAUAUCUGCAUCUAAUAAAAGGUUACCCAUUGGUUAUGCUGCCGAUUGUUACGACUUGAUAAACUUGACCUCAAUCAGGUAGGACCACCCGCUGAACUUAA